rnacentral:lncRNA from 10 species
AUUCACGCGUGCGUCUCCCGAGGGCAGGCGGCCCCUACUACCAUGACGGCCCUGCACACGGUGUCCCAUCUGCCCAGCGAAGUCUCUCCCUCUCCCUCCGGCCAGCGGGGUCCCUCUCCUCGAGUCGCGGCUUCAGGAGACACGCGGACUACAGGUCCCAGCAUGCCUCGGGACGCGGCCUCUUCAGGCGCCCCAGUCAAGCAGUCCGUGCGCAGCCGCUUCUGAAAAGGCGGCCUCCAACGCGAGCGAAAGACGCCAGCCGAGUCAGAGCGGACAUACUCGCUCCCGUCCGCCCCGCGGUCCCCAGCCGCCUCGCCCCUGCCUACUUCGCUUCCCCGGCGCUCCGCCCGCGCCUCCCGUGACGUCACAGAGUCGCUCAUCUCCAGGAGUGGGGGAGCCGGCAGCCGCUCCUGACCCAGAUUAGCUGUGAGUCCUUCGGCUGCAGGAAACCUCUCUCCCGAGAGCAAAGCCCACGCAUAACUUAUGGUUGCUGAGCUGCCCCAUGCCUUCUGAAACAGCUUGUUGGUUGCCCCUCUGAUCCUGUAGGGCUCUCCCCGUGUUCUGCCCCUCCUAAAACUGAGUGGUGUAUAAUUCUUUUUUUUUUUUUUUUUUCUUUUUGAGACAAGGCCUUGCUCUGUCACCCAGGCUGGAGUGCAGUGACACCAUCUCGGCUCACUGCAACCUCUGCCUCCCAGGCUCAAGCGAUUCUCCUGCCUCAACUUCCCGAGUAGCUGGGAUUACAGGCAUUGUGCCAGGCUAAGUUCGUACGCAGCAAUAGAUAAUGCCACAAAUGGCUUGAUUCGAUCCACUGGCUUUAAGGCUGGGUUGGCAUAGGCUCAGGGAAGAGACUGCCGUCUUUUUGUCCCUUUCCCGCCUCCACACUGUACCUGAUGCGCACUGGCACGAGGGGCUGCGUGACCAGCUGGUGUUCUCCCUCCCAGCCAUCUGGAGCCAUCCCAACCCCUCUCUGCCUGCUUUGAAUGUCCCCUCAAGACCUGGGAAGGAAAAAAUAACAUCACCUCCUUGAAAAAAACUGCACCAAAGGAAUCUCUGUCCACCUAAACCAUACUGCUCACUAAAAGACAGGAAUGAGGAACUUUAUCCUGGAGAAGGAAAGAAUGGGAGAAACUAGUCCUGUAGUCAGGGCAGGACUCUCGGAGAGCGCAAGGGCUUGACUCCAUUCGCUGCCUGGUGGUCUCUAAGACGAGCAACAUAAUCUAUGAAGGUGCAGGGAUAAACUGUGAUUUUACCUAAAAAAAAAAAAAAAGAGAAAUUAAGCUUUACAAAUACCCCCCCUCCAGGCUGACCCCGGGCCCCUCCUAGUCAGCCAGACGGCCACAUCAGCUCAGCUCUGAGAAGAAAGCCCGUGGUUGGGCCUGGCAGAGAGGGGCAGGUGGUGGUCACUGCAGGUCUGUCCCUGGGCGCUGCCAUGGAGAAGAGGACACACUGGUUAUAUUAACUCUCUUCAUAUUCACCAAAAUUAAUGCCUGCAAGUGGACAGGCGCAGACACUGUGGCAGAGAAACUGUAGUUCCGGACUAGCGGGUGAACCCGGGGCCAUGUUAAGGAAGUGGCCAAGCCGUUCUGCUCACGUCCCCGGUAUGUCAGCCACUUUCAUCAGUUUUGUUUUACCUUGUAAUAAAAGUUACCAAGGAGUUAGCAAAAUCUAUUAAAAAUUACCAAGAAG